rnacentral:lncRNA from 1 species
AAUACCUGCUCUUUUUUUUUUUAACCUAAAUUUUUUCUCCUUCUCUCUCUCUCAUUUUUAUUUAUUCAACUUAAUUCUCCUCUCAUCUCUUUUGGGUGCGGAGCCUACUUUUUUUAAACCUAAUUUUUUUCUCCCUCUCUCCCCUAUUUUUAUUUUUUCAACACAAUUCUCCUCUCCCUCUUUCUUUCUCUCAAAUUUUUUAUCAAUCUCUUUCUCAUCUUUUACUGCACAACUUAUUUUAAAAAAAUAAAUAUUAUAAAAUUAAAAUCUAAUUAAAUAAAUAUGACUUAAAUUAUAUGAAAGACUAUAUAUAAAAAUUUAUAGAAUUUAAAAUUUUAUAAUAAGAUUUUAAAAAUGUAGUGUAUAAAAUUAAGUUUUAUACCUGAUUUAUAAAAUAUUUUUUCUCCACUAUUCUAUCUUAUCUUAACUAUAACAAAUUAUUGCUAGCAUCCGGUCUAUUGGUGCAUCGCAUGUACUAAACUUAUUUUUAAAAGAUAAAUAUUAUAAACUUAAAAUAUAAUCCGAUAAAUGCACUCUAUGUGAUAUAAAAAGUCUAUUUAUAAAAAUUUAUAGAGUUUAAAUUUUUAUAAUAGAAUUUUAAAAAUUUGGCGUAUAUGAUAUAUUUAUGGGGUUUUUUUUUGCAUCUAGCCCCUUAGAAAAAAAUUAUUUUAAAAAUAGCCCCAGUAAAAUUAUAUUUGCACUUUUGACCCUGACCACGCCACGCAAACGCCACGCAAGCGGGACUGGGCGAGGGUGUUAAGUUAAACACGGUGAACCAUUCACCGUGUCCAAACACGGUAAAUGGUUUACCAUGUCUAGAAAAAAUACAAAUAUAUGUAUUUUUCGCAAUAUAAAUAUUGAAAAGAGGAAUAGAGAGUAGGGAUGUCAAUGGGUAUGGAUACUCGAAAUAUUAUCUGAAUCCAAACCCGAAUAAAUUAUUUAUAUACAUAAUUUAUUUUUAUUUAUUUAUACAAUAUAUAAAAUAUUUAAUAAUUUUUAUCCCUUAGAUCUUCAUCGAACGGUAUGGAUUUUUAAAACCCACCGGGUUCGGGUCCGGGUUCGAGUCCGAGUUCAGGUUUCGGGUUGUUGGUCGAGUAUGGGUAUGGGUAUAGAUUUUUAAAACCCUCCGUGUUCGGAUCCGGGUUCGGGUUUUAAUUUGAUUUUCGGGUUCGAGUUCAGGUUUUUGAAAACCCGACCCGUUGACAUCCCUAAUAGGGAGAAUAUAAGUACGGAAUACAGUGAAUCAUUAACGGUGAAUGGUUCACCGUGUCUAGAAAACAUAAAUAUUGAAAAAGAGAAGAAGAUGAAUAUAAAUAUGAAACAUGGUGAACACGGUGAAUGAUUCACAGUAUUCAACUUGCCAAGUAGGCUCCCAGCCCACCCACGUGGCGCUUGCGUGGCGCCUGCGUGGCAGGGGUAGGGUCAUUUUUGCAAUUAUAAAUUUGUUGGGACUAAUUUUAAAAUAAAAUUUUUUCAGGAGGCCAUUUGCAAAUAAAGCCCUACAUUUAUGCAUCUAGUGUAUGAAAUAAUUU